AGUCUUCCACUAGCAGCCUUUGGAUGAAGACGUAGAACUCUCAGCUCUGCAUGCACCAUGAUAGCCUGGAUGCUGCCAUGCUCCCACCUUGAUGAUAAUGGACUGAACCUCUGAACCUAGCAAAGAAGAGAAAAGUUCUCAGAGGGAAUUUUCCCCUCUGGAAGGGGCCUGACCUGCAGGACUUAAACAACAGGAUUCUCAAGGGAAGAGAGCAACAAUGACAAAUUUGGGAUCAGGAGACUCAAAGGAAGGAGACAAGACAAAAAUUCUGUUCAAGUCUCAUUUACUCUUGGGAAGUGGAGGGCUUAUAAAGCUGAAACCACAAAUGGCAUUUGCUCAGGUGCACAGGCCAAACCAGUCCUACCCUUGCUAACUAACACAUUGACAUUAAAGGGAUGUCCCCAUUGCAAAAUGUUGGGAAAGCCCCUAUCAUAAAAUGUCCUGAGUGCCCCUAUUGUAAAAUGUCCCAAGUGAGUUACAGAAACAGAAGCAAGAUAGUAAAAGAAACAAAGGAGUGUUAGUUAACCAAGUUAUGCCAUGACAAAACCAAAUUUACACAAUAUCUUUCUACAAAUCCAGCCCUACAAAGAAUAACAGAUGAAAAACACCAACACAAGGAUGAAAACUACACCCUAGUAAAAGUAAGAAAGUAAUCUUUCAACAAACCCAAAAGAAGAUAGCCACCCAAGCAUAAUUCCACCUCUAACAACAACAACAACAAAAAAGGAAGUAACAAUCACUUUCCCUUAAUUUCUCUUAACAUCAAUGGACUUAAAUCCCUCAAAAAGACAUAGACUAACAGACUGGAUACAUAAACAGGACCCAGCAUUUUGCUGCAUACAGGAAACACGCCUCAGUGUCAAAGACAGAUACUACCUCAGAGUAAAAGGAUAGAAAAAAUUUUCCAAGCGAAUGGCCCCAAGAAACAAGCUGGAGUAGCUAUUGUAAUA
rnacentral:lncRNA from 1 species